rnacentral:lncRNA from 1 species
UUAGUCAUUACAGAACAUUCGAGUCUUGGUAGAAGACUACUUAGUCAUAAUAGAACAUUAGGGUCUUGGUAGAAGACUAUCAUAUCAUUUUCCUAUUUUACUUUAUUUUGUGAUAUAUUCACAUAAACGAUGAGUUAGACUAAGUACUCUUAGUACUAGUCGAUAGAAAGGAAAAACUAUCAUUUUACUUACAGAACAUUAAGGUCUUGGUAGAAGACUAUCAUAUCAUUUUCCUAUGUUACUUUAUUUUGUGAUAUAUUCACAUAAACGAUGAGUUAGACCAAGUACUCUUAGUACUAGUCAAUAGAAAGGAAAACCUAUCAUUUUACUGGUCAUAACAAAACAUUCGGGUCUUGGUAGAAGACCACAUUUCAUACUUAUAUCAACUGUGCUAUUUAAGGAUUUAUACGACAUUCUUAACAACAUUCCAAAACAGGACAAUAACACAUAAAUACUUAUGAAUUCACCAGCUUUAAAGCUGAUACUCGCUUUCAAUAUAACUUGUAUUCUCAGGUCAUCAGUUAGACAGGUGCGAUGGCCAUGUUACCGGAG